AAUCAACGCUGGCGGCGUGCCUAACACAUGCAAGUCGAGCGCGAAAGGGGAGCAAUCCCCGAGUAGAGCGGCGAACGGGUGAGUAACGCGUGGGUAAUCUACCUCCGAGUGGGGAAUAACAGCGGGAAACUGCUGCUAAUACCGCAUGACAUCGUCGAGCCCUCGGGCCUGACGAUCAAAGCCGGGGACCGCAAGGCCUGGCGCUUGGAGACGAGCCCGCGUCCGAUUAGCAGUUGGCGGGGUAAUGGCCCACCAAGGCUCCGAUCGGUAGCCGGCCUGAGAGGGCGGACGGCCACACUGGGACUGAGACACGGCCCAGACUCCUACGGGAGGCAGCAGUGGGGAAUUUUUC
rnacentral:rRNA from 1 species